GCAUGGUUCAGACAUAAAAGGUGGCUUCGGCUACCACUUACAGAUGGACCCGCGGCGCAUUAGCUAGUUGGUGAGGUAACGGCUCACCAAGGCAACGAUGCGUAGCCGACCUGAGAGGGUGAUCGGCCACACUGGGACUGAGACACGGCCCAGACUCCUACGGGAGGCAGCAGUAGGGAAUCUUCCGCAAUGGACGAAAGUCUGACGGAGCAACGCCGCGUGAGUGAUGAAGGUUUUCGGAUCGUAAAGCUCUGUUGUUAGGGAAGAACAAGUGCCGUUCAAAUAGGGCGGCACCUUGACGGUACCUAACCAGAAAGCCACGGCUAACUACGUGCCAGCAGCCGCGGUAAUACGUAGGUGGCAAGCGUUGUCCGGAAUUAUUGGGCGUAAAGGGCUCGCAGGCGGUUUCUUAAGUCUGAUGUGAAAGCCCCCGGCUCAACCGGGGAGGGUCAUUGGAAACUGGGGAACUUGAGUGCAGAAGAGGAGAGUGGAAUUCCACG
rnacentral:rRNA from 1 species